GCGUGACGCCACAUUCUCCCGCCAGCUGGCGGCGAAAUUUUGAUUUUUGUGUGAAUGAAUCAAAGUCGGACAGGGCGGCUGGGGCUUUCUCCCUUCGAUCUCGUGGCUCUAAUUCUCUCUCUCACUUGGAUUUGUCAAUUCGAUUCCUGGCAAGGGCUGCUCCAGCGGCCGCGUGAUUGCAACGCGUUUACAACGAGCUCCAUGAGUCACGCGAGAUCUAAGCUGCCCUGGUGAUUGAUUAGGGUAUCAUAGGCCGCUAUGGCCGGACAAGGUGAGUUCCAGGAGCUGGUGGAGACUCUCAUUGGGCUGCUCAACGAGAUAUCAUCCCUGGGGGACUACGCCAGAUCGCACCGCAAGGAAUGCACCAAUCUCGCCCGCCGACUCAAGCUCUUGGCCCCGCUGCUGGAGGAGGCGAGGGAGGCCAGCUCGCUUGAUUCCCUUCGCCCCUUCCACGACCUCAAGCUCGUUCUCCACUCGGCCAAGGACCUCCUCUCUCUCUGCCACAAGGGAAGCAAAAUUUUCCUGAUCAUGAAAAGAGAAGGAAUUGCCAGCAGCUUCCAAUCCGUGACCGCGGAUUUGGAGCAUGUGCUAGAUUCCCUGCCAUACAAUUCACUGAAUCUCUCGGAAGAGGUCCGAGAACAGGUGGAGCUGCUCCAUGCGCAGCUCAAGAGGGCCAAAGGCAAAGCAGAAGUUAUCGACACGGAGCUGAUCGAGGACUUGAUGCGAUGCAGCACGAGUGACGAACGAGACUAUGAUAGAAUGGCAGCGGAGAGACUAGCCGACAAGCUACACCUCAAAACCUGGUCCGAGAUAAAGGAGGAGGAGUUUCGUGCGCAGGAGAGCCUGAAGCUGGACAAAGGUGGUGACCUUGACGCUGCAAUCAAGAUGGUGCUGGGAAGGCUCAAGGGCAUUGCCAUCUCGGACGCGGACGAACCUUAUGUUUCAAUCGACAAAGCACGAGUUGACUUCGCUAUGAGAAAUCCCUUGUCACCGUCACCGCGAUCAGACAAGCUGAGCAACCCAGCCAUUCCAGAGGAUUUCCGGUGCCCAAUCUCGCUGGAACUGAUGAAAGACCCCGUCAUCGUUGCAACUGGCCAGACUUACGAGCGCUCCUACAUCCAAAAGUGGCUAGAUGCCGGCCACAAGACAUGCCCGAUAACGCAGCAGACGCUCCCGCAUCUGGUGCUGACUCCAAACUAUGUUCUCCGGAGUCUCAUCUGUCAGUGGUGCGAAACCAACGGGAUCGAACUGCCAAAGAAAGUUGGCACGAGUCGGGGUGGUCACUCGUCCGACUUGGAAGCAUGUGGAGACAGGGUGGCCGUAGAGGCGCUACUGCAGAAGCUUUCCAGCCCCCAAGUGGAUGUGCAAAGGAUAGCUGUGGCGGACCUCAGGCUGCUGGCAAAGAGAAGCAUCGACAACAGGAUUUGCAUUGCAGAAGCUGGAGGUGUUCCGCUGCUGAUUGGACUCUUGUCAUCGACGGACACGCGGAUACAAGAGCAUGCAGUUACCGCUCUGCUCAAUCUCUCCAUCCACGACCCCAACAAGGCUCAGAUCGUCCAGGCAGGUGCUAUAAAUCCGAUUGUCGAGGUUCUCAAGUCAGGCAGCAUGGAGGCAAGAGAGAAUGCCGCUGCUACGCUCUUCAGCCUCUCGGUUGUGGACGAUAACAAGGUGACGAUUGGCCAGACGGCUGCGAUUCCAGCUCUAGUGAACUUGCUCAGAGAAGGCACUCCCCGAGGCAAAAAGGACGCAGCCACUGCCCUUUUCAACUUGUCCAUAUACCAAGGCAACAAGGCCAAGGCAGUGAGAGCUGGCGUGGUUCCGCCGCUGAUGGAGCUGCUGGAUCCAAACGCAGGCAUGGUGGAUGAAGCUUUGGCUAUUCUGGCAAUACUCGCAACGCACCAGGAGGGGCGCGUUGCAAUCGGCCAGGAGUCAACCAUCCCACUUUUGGUGGAGCUCAUACGUUCCGGCUCGGCCAGGAACAAGGAGAAUGCAGCUGCUGUUCUCCUUGCUCUGGGCCAGAACGACGCAGCUCAUCUUGUCACAGCGCAACAGUACGACGCCGGGGUGCCUUUGGCGGAGCUCGUGCAAAACGGCACCAGCAGGGCCAGGCGCAAAGCGAGCUUGAUCCUGGAGCUGAUGCACAAGCAACAGCAAGAACAGUUAAACAAGCAACAAUAACAACGUAAGACGAAGAAGAGAAGCAGGCAGGACCAAACAACUCAAUGUCGUCAACACUUUCUCUACAUGCUUGCACACAUGGAGGGUGGUGCUCUGUGCUCAAAGUUGCCCAGGAAGGUCCACCAUCAAUCAACAACACACGCAGAGCUUGGCGGUUUGUUCAUUCACAGUGCUGCUGCGGCUCGGCUCAGAGACAAGAUUCAACGAACGCGAGCUUGGUUUGGAUGGAAUGUUGCUGAGACAUGCGGAGCUCUCGGCUCCUCUUGUUCCAACACAGCCGUGAUGACCAUGCAUUUAGAGGACGCGGACACCUAAUGAUUGAAGAGGAACUGCCCUUUUAAGUGAUUCACUUUGGCUUCGCUCUUUCACACAUGAAGAGGCACAGAUACUCCCGACUUCGUUAACAUCAGGAGCAGCAGAAAGUCCACAAUCAAGAUAAAUACUUGUAAUCCGUUCCGGAAAACUGCAAUGUACGACGAAUACGGAGUUACCGUCUUUGUUUGGGACUCCCCAAGCUCCGUUUCUUCGCACUGUGUUGGAACGGAACUAGAGUUCCGUGGUGCUCGUUUGCUCACGGUGUUUGGGGGACUUGCAACCAAGUCCGCAUUUGGCAGCAAUGCUUCUGGGAUGUCGUAUCCCAAGUAAGCUGUCGAUAUGGGUCUGGCACAUGCAAAUGCCCUCGUCAACCUCACUUGGAUACUUACAGCAGCAAAUAACCUUGGGUGGCAAUUGUGUGCCUGUGCUUUCUCCUAGAGAAGCUGCUCCAAAACUAGCGAGAUUCUGCUUC